CCCUUAGAUGUUCUGGGCCGCACGCGCGCUACACUGACGAAUGCAACGAGCUUAUAACCUUGGCCGAAAGGUCUGGGUAAUCUCCAAAUUUCGUCGUGAUGGGGAUAGAUUAUUGCAAUUAUUAAUCUUCAACGAGGAAUUCCUAGUAAACGCAAGUCAUCAACUUGCAUUGAUUACGUCCCUGCCCUUUGUACACACCGCCCGUCGCACCUACCGAUUGAAUGGUCCGGUGAAGCCUCCGGAUUGGCGCGCACCUCGGUGCCGCCGAGAAGUUGGCUAAACCUUACCAUUUAGAGGAAGGUGAANUCGUANCA
rnacentral:rRNA from 1 species